rnacentral:rRNA from 1 species
UCCUUUAGUAAUGGCGAAUGAACAAGGAUUAGCUCAGGAUGAAAAUCAGGUAUUAUGGCAUUGAAUUGUAAUUUAAAGAUGCUCUGCCAACAGAUGCGCAGAUGUAAGCCUUUUGGAAAAACACAUCAAUGAUGGUGAGAAUCCUGUUGAUCAUUUGCAGCUAUCUGUGCACGGUGUGCAUUCUAUGAUUCACGUUCCUCGGGAUUGGAACGCAAAGUGGGUGGUAAUAUUCAUUUGAAGCUUAACAUUGGUUUGAGACCGAUAGCAAACAAGUACCAUGAGGGAAAAGUGAAAAGGACUUUGAAAAGAAAGUUAAAAAGUGCAUGAAAUUGUUGAAAAGGAAGCGGAUGUAACCAUAUGCUCUUUGCAAGAUUGUUGUGUGCCUCGUGUGAUAAGUUUGCUGCGUCAACGCCAAGUGUAGCAGCAAGCCUAAUCUGAUUGUGCAUGGUGGUUCUUGCAUUGUGUGCCAACAUCAUUUUGCAACUGGUGAAAACAUAAAAGACAAGGUAAUUUGCCUGCGGGUGAACGAAUGUGUUUUUAAGGGAGCCAGUUGUGGAUUGUUGCAUGCGUGGGUGGUACAAUGGUUAUGUGCACACAAUUAUUUACAUUGAAUAAGUGCUAAACCCAUUUGGCCAUUCUUGACACAACAAUGAUGGCAAAAUGGUUUCAUUUGACCCGUCUUGAAACACGGACCAAGGAGUCUAACACAUGUGCAAAUAUGUGGGUGGCAAGCUUGCUUGUGCAAUAAAAGUGAUGUGCUUGUAUAUAUGCAGCAGCAACUAACUGAUCAAGUAAGAGAGGUUUGAGUAUUAGCAUGUCUGUUANGACCCGAAAGAUGGUGAACUAUGCCUGAGAAGGGUAAACUCAGGGGAAACUCUGAUGGAAGCUCGUAGCGAUACUGACGUGCAAAUCGUUCGUCAUA